rnacentral:tRNA from 1 species
GCGGUGGCUCAGAGGUAGAGUGCUUGCUUGGCACAUGUGAGGGACUGGGUUCGAGCCUCAGCAUUGCA